rnacentral:rRNA from 1 species
GAUGAACGCUAGCUACAGGCUUAACACAUGCAAGUCGAGCGGAAACGACAUCGAAAGCUUGCUUUUGAUGGGCGUCGACCGGCGCACGGGUGAGUAACGCGUAUCCAACCUGCCCAUCACUUGGGAAUAACCUUGCGAAAGUAAGACUAAUACCCAAUGACAUCCCACGAAGACAUCUGAAUGGGAUUAAAGAUUUAUCGGUGAUGGAUGGGGAUGCGUCUGAUGAGCUUGUUGGCGGGGUAACGGCCCACCAAGGCAACGAUCAGUAGGGGUUCUGAGAGCAAGCUCCCUCAGACUGGAACUGAGACACGGUCCAAACGCCUAGGAGCGGCAGCAGUGCGGAAUAUUGGUAAAUGGGCGAGAGCCUGAACCAGCCAAGGAGCGUGGAGGAUGACGGCCCUAUGGGUUGUAAACUGCUGUUAUAAGGGAAUAAAGUGGGUCUCGUGAGACUUUUUGCAUGUACCUUAUGAAUAAGGACCGGCUAAUUCCGUG